UUGAACACAGAGCGCGUGAGCAGCAGUAAACCCCCCCCCACAGAAGAAGUCUCUCUUCCCACAGUCCUCGGCGGUGCUAAAGUGACCUCUGUUGCUAACUGUUAGCCUGCUGUGAGACGAUGGCUCCUCCAGUUGCAGUGUCGCCUUUGAUUAAGACUGCAAGAUAUUCAGCCUUGAUUGCCGGGAUCAUCUAUGGCAAAAGGAGAUAUGAUCACCUGAAGCCUAUUGCAGCUGAGGAGAGACGGAUCGAGGAGGAGGAGAAAAAGGUUCGCGAGGAGCAGGAGCGCAUUGCCAAGCAGCUAGCAGAAGCAAAUGAAGAUACUAUCCUGAAGUAAAGCGUGCUGUGUGAGGAUGUAGUCCAUGGGAUGUCCAUGCAAUUUCCAACUUUUCCCUCCGUUUUCUGGAGUUACAGAGACAGUCGGGUCACAACCUGUCAAACACUUGCCACUUACUUUGAAUAAUACAACACCCCUCUGGACCAUAAGUUAGUUACAUGAAAUUAAAUGAGCCUCUUGAACUCAGCAUUGUAACACAGCAAAUGCAGCCCCACUCAUAAUUUAUUCAUGUUUGUAAUGAAGCAAUGUCAUAAAUACAGAAGUACAUGAUCACUGUAGUCCACCAUGUGAUGUUUGGUUAUAAUUCGUGUUCUCCUUUAGCCACUGUUAGAGCACAGGUAUGACAGAUGUUAUAUUAAAAAUGACAACUUA